CUGUGAACUGGUUGUUUUGCAAAUACAUUUCGUUAAUACUUGAAAGGUUGCUAAAACUCUCAGGUAAGUUACCUGGCAGUUGGUUGAAAGAGAUAUCCAGUGUGGAGAGGGAAGAGAGCUUUCCAAACAUGUCAUACAACUGAGUCUGAAGCUGAUUAUGAGCAAUGUUCAAAUAUGUAAGUUUAGUCAGCUGAGAAAAGUAAUAAGGGAUGUCUCCUGUAAAAUGAUUAUUGGCAAGAUUUAACUGUGUCAGGUUUUGAGGAAGUCCAUAAGGUAUACCACCUGCAAGAUUAUUAUUACUCAAGUCUAGGUUCGUUAAUGCUGUCAAACUCGAGAGCUGGUAACCCAAUGAUCCAGAAAGUUGAAGACCAGAUAAUUUAAUUUCCGUGACUCGUGAGCCUGAGCAAGUAACACCUUUCCAGGACUCUACGCAUGGAUCACC
rnacentral:misc_RNA from 1 species